rnacentral:misc_RNA from 1 species
UGACGCCAGGGUGGUUAAU